rnacentral:lncRNA from 1 species
ACUGACCUAUUCAAUGGCAACAUCAAGAACAAAAUGAUCUCAAAUAGCAUUGAGCAGUUAAAAAAAAACGAAAGAGAAAUAGACAUGGUAUAUUUCAGGAUGUUCAAGUGUAUACACAGUUUCAUGCCAUGGGGAAAUGAAAGCUUUAUUAAAAUUUUGAACCGAUAGCAACACUACAGGCAAAUGACAGAUCCUGCUUUGAUCACGUGUCGAAGUCAAUAAAUGGGGAAUCUUUGUUAGUGUACAUAUCGGUAAAAGAACUAUCUGUAGAUAUGUUUUUGAUCAUUUGUGACACAUUCAUUUCAUACCAAUCAACUUGUUUUAAAAAAAGUUUAAAAAAAUAUUUAAACAAUUAGAAGUAGUCAUUUCAUCUUAAAAAAUUCAGGGGAAAUAUUACCGUAAGGAUCAAACGUGAAAUUAAAUUGAAACGAGACAUAGACUCAAGAAACAUGUAUAAACUUCCAUUAUCAAUUUACAAGGCAAUAUGUAAAAACAUAAUCGCGUGCUUGAGUGAAGCCUCCGUACUACAAAAGACGAAGCGACAUUAAUAGAAGGGUCGGGAUAAAAGUUAAAUAGUACUGUCAACGUUUGUUGCACUUCGGUAGUAUUAGACAAUAUUAGAAAAAUUGUCUAAUUAUCUGGUUGUUCGUUUCAUUUAGAAAUGAAGUGUCCAAUGUCUAAUUUAAGUUGCUAAAUUUUACCUGUUUUAAACCUUCUACUUGUAUGCUUUAAAAUCUAUACUAUUAAACGAGAAAACCUCAUUUUGUGUGUCGCUUCUCUUCCUUCCACAAUAAAUUAAUCAUCAUGCCUAUUUGUUCUAUAGGUCCGGAUAUUGUUUCCGUCAUCAGACUGACUUUUAGUCAUAGAUAAGCCUUCCGGUUUUAAACAUGCACAAG